GGAGCUGUACGUAAAGCACUUCCUUUUUUGAAGACUCGAUCGGAUCGUGGGAUGAUGGGACCUGGCGGACAAAUAGAAAAUAUAGCACCAGUGUUGCAUAGUAAACCCAUGUCAUCAAGACUCAUUAAAUCUAAAGGUACCAUGUCACAAGCUUUGUGCAAAUGAAUAUUUUGUAAGUCAAUUAAGCCUUCUUGCAAAGCAAUGUGGGUGACUAUGUGUCCUAGAAUUAAAGGUCUGC
rnacentral:lncRNA from 1 species